GGAGGUAGUUCAGUGGUAGAACACUUGCCUAGCAUGCAUGAGGUCCUGGGUUUGAGUCCCAGUACAUCCC
rnacentral:tRNA from 1 species